rnacentral:rRNA from 1 species
UACGGAGGGGGCUAGCGUUGUUCGGAAUUACUGGGCGUAAAGCGCGCGUAGGCGGCUUUGUAAGUUAGAGGUGAAAGCCCGGGGCUCAACCCCGGAACUGCCUUUAAGACUGCAUCGCUUGAAUCCGGGAGAGGUGAGUGGAAUUCCGAGUGUAGAGGUGAAAUUCGUAGAUAUUCGGAAGAACACCAGUGGCGAAGGCGGCUCACUGGACCGGUAUUGACGCUGAGGUGCGAAAGCGUGGGGAGCAAACAGG